UCAUAUCUUCGGGGCCGUUCACAACGCA
rnacentral:sRNA from 1 species